CCCCCAGUAACUGCGAGUGAAGAGGGAAGAGCUCAUCAUUGGAAUCUGGCAGCAAUUGUGCUGUCCGAGUUGUAGAUGAGAAGAGUGGGUCAUCUGGACUGCGUGGUGUCCAAGUACAAUAGGCCGUCAGUGGGACAUCAUAGAGGGUGACAAUCCCGUCCUUGACAACCAACGUACGAGUCCAUUACGAUGCCUAUCUCAGAGAGUCGAGCAGUUUGGGAUUUGCUGCUUAAACAUGGGAGGUAGAUUCCUUCUAAAGCUAAAUACAGGCAAGAGACCGAUAGAGAACAAGUACCGCAAGGGAAAGAUGAAAUAGAACUCUGUGAAGGGAGUCAAAAAGACGUGAAAUUGUUGCGAGAGAAGCGAUUCAAGUCAGCGUAGCUAGGCCCAUGAAGCUUUUUGCUUUGGACUAGCUUUGCCAGCGGUCUUGUCUGUAGACUUGACUUUUUGACGUGCCCAGCCCGGUCUAACGGGCAGGCCCCUCUGGGGCCCAGUGGCAUGGCUGGUGGAAUGGCUUGCAAUCGACCCGUCUUGAAACACGGACCAAGGAGUCUAACAUGUGUGCGAGUAUAAGGGUGGCAAACCUGUAUGCGCAAAGAAAGUGAUAGCCUUUAUGGCUGAGAAUGGCCUGAUGACCAGACAAGCAAUAUUAUGUUCCUCGUACGGUCAUUGCCCAAGUCCCAUGGUCAGAUCCCAUGGACAUGGAGUUAGAGCAUACAUGCUAGGACCCGAAAGAUGGUGAACUAUGCCUGGACAAAGCGAAGCCAAAGGAAACUCUGGUGGAGGCUUGUAGCGAUUCUGACGUGCAAAUCGAUCGUCUGAUCUGGGUAUAGGGGCGAAAGACUAAUCGAACCAUCUCAUAGCUGGUUCCUGUCGAAGUUUCCCUCAGGAUAGCAGAGACAUUGUGGAAGUUGCAUGUGUAAAGCGAAUGAUUAUUGACCCUGGGGCUCAAAUGGGCCUCAAUCUA
rnacentral:rRNA from 1 species